rnacentral:rRNA from 1 species
CUACGGGGGGCAGCAGUGGGGAAUCUUGCACAAUGGAGGAAACUCUGAUGCAGCGAUGCCGCGUGAGUGAAGGAGGCCCUUGGGUUGUAAAGCUCUUUUGUCGGGAAAGAUAAUGACCGUACCCGAAGAAUAAGGUCCGGCUAACUUCGUGCCAGCAGCCGCGGUAAUACGAAGGGACCUAGCGUAAUUCGGAAUUACUGGGCGUAAAGCGCGCGUAGGCGGUUAAGUAAGUUAAUUGUGAAAGCCCAAAGCUCAACUUUGGAAUUGCAAUUAAAACUACUUAGCUAGAGUUUAUCAGAGGAAAGCGGAAUACAUAGUGUAGAGGUGAAAUUCGUAGAUAUUAUGUAGAACACCAGUUGCGAAGGCGGCUUUCUGGGAUAACACUGACGCUGAGGUGCGAAAGUAUGGGUAGCGAAGAGGAUUAGAUACCCUAGUAGUC